GAUGUUUACCUGUCUGUGGCCAGAUGUUCUGGACAGCAGAAAGCCACACUGGGAAAAAGACUGAGGAAGAAAGGACAGGAUCAGAAAACAAUGCCAGGAGAUAGACAGAUAACAGCUUGAAGACAUGGUGCACGAAGAACUGCUGAAGGUGCUCAUUGGCAAUGUUAAUGCAGAGCUGCUCAAAGCUUUUGGGGGACAAGAUGGGAACCCACAGUCAUCCUUGGCCAGUGCUGCACUGAUUUAUGGUGCAGGAUUGCAGCCAACAGCUUGCUGAUGUCCCAGUGCUCAGAAUCUGAGAAUGUGAGGAUCUUCAUAGCUGAGCGGAUGUGAGCAUAAUCCUUUGCAUCAUUCCGGCCAUCACAGAAUGUGCAGUUGCCCUGCAAGACACCACACCUGCAGGUUCAAUGUAGAUGCUGUAGCUGUAUGAUGGGAAAGGCAACAAAAGGCCUCCAUGCAGGAGACAGCUUCCUGGGCCUCCUGCUGCGGUUCCAUAUCCGAAUCAGAGAUAAGUCAUGGCAACUAAUAGCUGGGGGUAAUGUGCGUUUAUCCACAUUACGUAGAUGUGUUUUAAUAUUAGCCUCCUUACCUGAGGGUUUUGUUAAGUUUUACAGCAGAAAUGAAGAUACAGAUGCAGAAAUACAGCAUAGGUCCUUCAGGGCUUGGAGACUUUCAGAGGGAGGCAAAAAAUCACCAGGCAGCGAAGAGAGCUUCCUUAAUGUUUCUAUCUGUGCAAAUCAUUCUUACUCAAGGAUUUUGCCUCAAAGUAAUUCUUUAGCAAACUUAUUUCUGAUACAAGAGUUUUUAGAAGUCUAUAUGUUGUGUGGGAUUAACAAAAUUUUAAGUACUAAUUUUGUUAGAUGAAGGCCAAAUAUUGGCAAAUAAAUCAAAGUGCAUACUUUUAUGUUAUCAAGGCAGAUAUCUAAACUCAGAGCUUUUUGUGUAAUGAGACU